ACUAGAUCCAACCGGAGAAAGGUAACCCCUGAUGCUUCCUUGAGUGUACAUGCUAGGAGGAAUUAGUCUUCCUUCAGAAUGGGAUCAUUUUUAAAAUUUCAGGUAUCUUGAUAUCUAUGAGGUGAGCCCGAGAGAUGAUAUUUGAGCAGGGUAACUCUGCAGCUGAAGCGAACAAACAUCCUAGUGUUGGAAACGGCGGGAUCCCAUUCGCAUGCGCAUCUGAAGUUUUGGACUGUGAAGUGGUCAUACUGAUAACUGGUCAGUUCAUCAACAGCUCUGUAUAUUGUUUUCAUCUAGUUAUUAAGAUUACAUUAGCGAUGAAGUGAUUAGGGGUGCUGAUACUGACUGUCCUUUGUUGUCAUAUUAGUUCUUCCAUACUUACAAUGGGAGAAAGAGAGAGCUCCUCCU
rnacentral:lncRNA from 1 species